AUGAACGCUAGCGGCAGGCUUAACACAUGCAAGUCGAGGGGCAGCAUGAGACGGAGAUUCGUCGAAGUCUUGAUGGCGACCGGCGCAAGGGUGCGUAACGCGUGAGCAACUUGCCCGUUUCAGGGGGAUAACCGGUGGAAACGCCGACUAAUACCCCAUAGUAUCAACUUUAGGCAUCUUUAGUUGAUUAAGAAAUUCGGAUAAGGAUGGUCUCGCGUCUGAUUAGCUAGAUGGCGGGGUAACGGCCCACCAUGGCGACGAUCAGUAGCCGGUCUGAGAGGAUGAACGGCCACAUUGGGACUGAGAUACGGCCCAGACUCCUACGGGAGGCAGCAGUGAGGAAUAUUGGUCAAUGGUCUGACGACUGAACCAGCCAUGCCGCGUGAAGGUCACGGCCCUAUGGGUCUUAAACUUCUUUUGCAAGGGAGCAAUAAGCCUCACGUGUGGGGCGAUGAGAGUACCUUGCGAAUAAGCAUCGGCUAACUCCGUG
rnacentral:rRNA from 1 species